rnacentral:rRNA from 1 species
UACGUAGGGCGCAAGCGUUGUCCGGAAUUAUUGGGCGUAAAGAGCUCGUAGGCGGCUUGUCACGUCGGGUGUGAAAGCCCGGGGCUUAACCCCGGGUCUGCAUUCGAUACGGGCUGGCUAGAGUGUGGUAGGGGAGAUCGGAAUUCCUGGUGUAGCGGUGAAAUGCGCAGAUAUCAGGAGGAACACCGGUGGCGAAGGCGGAUCUCUAGUACGUGACUGACGCUGAGACGCGAAAGCGUGGGGAGCGAACAGG